CUCUUGAGAAGACACCAAUAUUACCUUGUGUGGAAAAGGCCCUUAGUAAUCACGCGACUAGGGUUUUAACAAAUAAUAAUCAGACUCCUCUUCUAACAAUACCCGUGCUUACUCAACGGGCUUGUGGACAGAUGUCCACAGCAGCAUGGACAGGAAUCAUUCUUGAAAGCACGGCUUCUCUUCAUCUGGGUCGGCCCAGUUUCUUCCAUCCCUCAGUGCAGAAGCAACAACCAACCCUGAGGCUUCUUACGGGCACCAUUCCUCGAAAGGAUCAGCCAGCCUUGGUUUGAACUGAAUUACACGACUGGCUUUCUUGGUUCUUCCCAGCUUGCAGACAGCAGAUGCUGAGACUUCGUGGUCUCCAUAAUCAGCUAAAACCACGUGCUCCCUUGUUCAUCUCCAGUGGCAG